UACGGAGGGUGCGAGCGUUGUUCGGAAUUACUGGGCGUAAAGGGCGCGUAGGCGGCCGCCUAAGUCAGACGUGAAAUCCCUCGGCUCAACCGGGGAACUGCGUCUGAUACUGGGUGGCUUGAAUCCGGGAGAGGGAUGCGGGAAUUCCGAGGUGUAGCGGUGAAAUGCGUAGAUAUCUGGAGGAACACCGGUGGCGAAGGCGGCAUCCUGGACCGGUAGUUGACGCUGACGGCGCGAAAGCCAGGGGAGCAAAGCGGG
rnacentral:rRNA from 1 species